AGCGAAAUUCCUUGUCGGGUAAGUUCCGACCCGCACGAAAGGCGUAAUGAUUUGAGCACUGUCUCGACAAUGCAUCCGGUGAAAUUGAAGUACCAGUGAAGAUGCUGGUUACCCGCGCCAGGACGGAAAGACCCCAUGGAGCUUUACUCCAGUUUGAUACUGGGAUUCGGUACUGCAUGUACAGGAUAGGUGGGAGACGAAGAAGGAUGGACGCCAGUCUGUCCGGAGUCGCUGUUGGGAUACCACCCCUGUAGUACUGGGUUUCUAACCUGCAGCCAUGACCUGGCUGGGGGACAAUGUCAGGCGGGGAGUUUGACUGGGGCGGUCGCCUCCGAAAGGGUAUCGGAGGCGCUCAAAGGUUCCCUCAGAAUGGUUGGAAACCAUUCGAAGAGUGCAAAGGCAGAAGGGAGCUUGACUGCGACACCGACGGGUGGAGCAGGUACGAAAGUAGGACUUAGUGAUCCGGUGGUAUAAAGUGGGAUUGCCAUCGCUCAACGGAUAAAAGCUACCCUGGGAUAACAGGCUUAUCACUCCCAAGAGUUCACAUCGACGGAGUGGUUUGGCACCUUGAUGUCGGCUCAUCGCAUCCUGGGGCUGUAGUAGGUCCCAAGGGUUGGGCUGUUCGCCCAUUAAAGCGGUACGCGAGCUGGGUUCAGAACGUCGUGAGACAGUUCGGUCCCUAUCCGGCGCGGGCGCAGGAUAUCUGAGAGGAGCUGUCCUUAGUACGAGAGGACCGGGAUGGACCGUCCGCUGGUGGACCGGUUGUCAUGCCAAUGGCACGGCCGGGUAGCCAAGACGGGAAGGGAUAAACGCUGAAGGCAUCUAAGCGUGAAGCCCCCCUCAAGAUGAGAUAUCCAUACUCGAAAGAGUGAGAGACCCCUUAGAGACGAUGAGGUAGAUAGGGCAGAGAUGGAAGCACAGCGAUGUGUGGAGUUGACUGUUACUAAUCGGCC
rnacentral:rRNA from 1 species